CAAAAACAUGUCCUUUUGUAUAAUUUAUAUAAGGUCUGACCUGCCCAAUGAGUAGUUUAAUGGCCGCGGUAUUUUAACCGUGCUAAGGUAGCAUAAUCAUUUGUCUUUUAAUUGAGGGCUGGAAUGAAAGGUUGGACGAGGUAUAAGCUUUCUUUAAUUUAUUUUAUGAAUUUAAUUUUUGAGUUAAAAAGCUUAAAUUUUUUUAUUGGACGAGAAGACCCUAUAGAUCUUUAUAAUAAUUUUUUGUUAAUUAAUUUAGUGGAUUUAUUUAUUUUAAUUUAUUUUAUUAUUUUGUUGGGGUGACUGUGGAAUUUUUUUAACUUCUAUUUUUAUUUUUCAUUUAUUAGUGUUUAAUUGAUCCAUGAUUCAUGAUUAUAAGAUUAAGUUACCUUAGGGAUAACAGCGUAAUUUUUUCGGAGAGUUCAUAUCGAUGAAGGAGUUUGCGACCUCGAUGUUGGAUUAAAAUAAGCGUUAAAUGUAGCAGUUUAAUAGCUAGGUCUGUUCGACCUUUAAAUUUUUACAUGAUCUGAGUUC
rnacentral:rRNA from 1 species